rnacentral:rRNA from 1 species
CACGGAGUUAGCCGAUGCUUUUCUUCGGGUACUCUCACAGACGGACACGUCCGGCUUUUGCUCCCCGACAAAAGAGGUUUACAACCCAUAGGGCAGUACUCCCUCACGCGACUUGGCUGGUUCAGGCUCUCGCCCAUUGACCAAUAUUCCUCACUGCUGCCUCCCGUAGGAGUCUGGUCCGUGUCUCAGUACCAGUGUGGGGGACCUUCCUCUCAGAACCCCUACGCAUCGUUGCCUUGGUGGGCCGUUACCCGCCAACCAGCUAAUGCGCCGCAUGCCCAUCCGCCUCCUAUAUUCUUUCAAAACCAGACGAUGCCGUCCAGCUUCAUACGGGGUAUUAGACGCCGUUUCCGACGAUUAUCCCCCUGAGACGGGCAGGUUGCAUACGUGUUACUCACCCGUGCGCCGGUCGCCGGCAUAAAUGAGCAAGCUCAUCUACCCGCUGCCCCUCGACUUGCAUGUGUUAAGCCUGUCGCUAGCGUUCAUCCUGAGCCAGGAUCAAACU